UGGGGAAUAUUGGGCAAUGGAGGGAACUCUGACCCAGCAACGCCGCGUGAGUGAAGAAGGUUUUCGGAUUGUAAAACUCUUUAAGCGGGGACGAAGAAAGUGACUGUACCCGCAGAAUAAGCAUCGGCUAACUACGUGCCAGCAGCCGCGGUAAUACGUAGGAUGCAAGCGUUAUCCGGAAUGACUGGGCGUAAAGGGUGCGUAGGUGGUUUGCCAAGUUGGCAGCGUAAUUCCGUGGCUUAACCGCGGAACUACUGCCAAAACUGGUAGGCUUGAGUGCGGCAGGGGUAUGUGGAAUUCCUAGUGUAGCGGUGGAAUGCGUAGAUAUUAGGAGGAACACCGGUGGCGAAAGCGACAUACUGGGCCGUAACUGACACUGAGGCACGAAAGCGUGGGGAGCAAACA
rnacentral:rRNA from 1 species